rnacentral:rRNA from 1 species
CCUACGGGGGGCAGCAGUGGGGAAUAUUGGACAAUCGGCGAAAGCCUGAUCCAGCCAUGCCGCGUGUGUGAAGAAGGCCUUCGGGUUGUAAAGCACUUUCAGUGGGGAAGAAAGCCUUGGGGCUAAUACCCUCGAGGAAGGACAUCACCCACAGAAGAAGCACCGGCUAACUCCGUGCCAGCAGCCGCGGUAAUACGGAGGGUGCGAGCGUUAAUCGGAAUUACUGGGCGUAAAGCGCGCGUAGGCGGUCUGAUAAGCCGGUUGUGAAAGCCCCGGGCUCAACCUGGGAACGGCAUCCGGAACUGUCAGGCUAGAGUGCAGGAGAGGAAGGUAGAAUUCCCGGUGUAGCAGUGAAAUGCGUAGAGAUCGGGAGGAAUACCAGUGGCGAAGGCGGCCUUCUGGACUGACACUGACGCUGAGGUGCGAAAGCGUGGGUAGCAAACAGGAUUAGAUACCCUAGUAGUC